GUUUGGCGUCAUAAACUGUAAACGGCACAUAGAAAGAAAUUGUGUCGUUCAAUGUUUAUUCAAUCAAAACAAUUACACUUUCACAUGGGGAAUGAUUAUGUGCAGAGUUUAAAAAUCAAAAGUUAUGUUAGAAUUGAUUCCAGAAACAGACGGAGAUUGAAAUUAUCUAGAAGUUCUUUAGAAUUUUUAAGAAUCCAUAUUUGGC
rnacentral:lncRNA from 1 species